CUUGCUUGAAAACGCUUUACUUUAAUUUCCAGCCAUCGGGGAGAUACAGCACAUCUGACACGCAGAAAGACUCUACAUCCUCAGCUUGUAGGUUAGACUUACCAUUAGUGAUCAUGACAGAAAGUGGCACAAGUGAAGACGCCCGCAGACCCUCAACAGCUGCAGUAGCAUGCUCCAAGGUGAUUCUCAGCAUCUUGCCGGUCACUCAGAUAACAAUUGAACUACAAACAAUCUGAUUUCAUCUCUGCCUGCCUGCUGGAUCAGCCUUUGGGACAAGCUCACCAUUCAACCAGCCAAACCAGCCAUGCCAGCCUGGCCUGCACAACCAACACACUCUGAGAGUACCCCAAAACCCUGAGUCAUUUCCACACCUCUUUACAUUAAAUCAAACUGUUAAAGUGUGA